CAAAUAAUUUAAUGUCAUUUCAGUGUUAAUACAUAACUCAAGCGAGUUUCUCUUCUGUUUCUGACUUUCACUGUCAUGUUUCAAGUCAAUGUCAUGUCGAAUGUCGAUAUAAAAUAUACGAGAUAUGAAUAUAACAAAUAACAAUUUAUUAUUUACUAAAUUGCUACGCUACUAUUAUAUGCUACUAAUAACUAUUUAGCUAUACUACUUAGUACCUAAAACUAAACUAUUGUCUACCUCUUUAACUAUAUAUAAAAAUAAUUACAAUAAUACUAAAAUAUAUUAAACUACUGUAUUUCCAUACGUUAUGCAGUGGAAAGAAUAAAUUCGUAGAUUGCCAGGAAGCAAUCUCUAUUUGAUAAAAGUUGCGGAAGAGAGCGCGGGAUAUUAUCUGAUGAUUUAUAAAUGCUAAGUAGAUGAUCAAUUAGUACAAUCCUAUCAAGUAUAAAACUAGUAACUAUGGCAUUCGAAGAAAAUGUGGUGAAGACUUUGGGGUUCGUUGGAAUUACAGAAGUUGCAAUUUGGAGAUGGGAUAAGGUUUAUCCGAUGAAGAUGAACAUUAAAUAGACAAUGGCCCAGACGUAAACGACACAAAACCGUAUAAAAUUUUCUGUUAUGGUGUUGGUUGGAACCAAGGAAUACCAAUUGAAUUAAUUUCAGCAUACCAUUUACCCUUUGUUUCAAUAGCUUGAUACCAAUGUUGUUUAAAGUUUUCUGUAAUUUCCUUCUUAAUACAGAUUAGAAGAUCAGAUUGUGGAGGCGAAAUCUGUUUAUUAGAAAAAGGUAUGAAGGUAAAAGGUAAGGUUGAAGAGUCGUUUGUGAUGGAUUCGGCAAGGAAAUCAGCUUUUUCGUUACCUAUAACACCAAUAUGUGAAGGUGUCCAAAAAAAUACUAUAUUUUUUGAAAAGGAUAAUUGAAAGUAUUUUUCUCGAAUUUCGUGAAUGAUGUAAUUUGUUUUAGAGUUGAGUCCAGGAUUAUCUAAAGCUUGUAAAACACUCAUCCUAUCAGUGACUAUAACCCAUUUAUUAGAGACUUGCUUUUGGAUAUAAUUCAGAGCUUCUAAUAUUGCCGAAGACUCUGCUGAGAAAAUACUGAAUUUUUCAGGUAACUUGUGCCUUAAGCCUCUCUCUGUAGUCACAUCAUAGAAAGCAGUUGCCACUGCCUCACUGUUUUUUGCAACAUUAGUGUAGAUUUGUUGAUACCCCACAAAGUCUGAUAAACCAUUGAAGACAUCCUCUUUAUAUUUUAAUUUGUGGUGUAUGACUAUCUCUAUAAGGCAAAACUUACUUAAAUAAGAACCAUUAUAACAAGUUUAGAACAAACUUGUACUUGAGAUAUUUAAACCUCAGACUAAGUGGUGGUAUAUUUGCUUCAACCUGCAUAGAAAUGAUGGGUGUUGAAAUCAUGGCACCCAUGAUAACCCGUAAACAUCUAUUUUGGACUUUAUUUAGUUUUUCCACUAGUAAUGAUUUAUGAGCAUAACACAAAUAUCCAUAUUCAAAAUGGCUCCAUACUAAACUUUUGUAAAGUGUUAAUAGUAUUUUUGGUAUACUGCUAAAGAUUUGAGUAUAUUAUAGGCUUUUAAAGCCCUAUUUGUUAGAUAGUCAAUAUAUUAACACAGUUAAAAUUAGAUUGCAAAAAUUACUCCUAAAAAUUUUGUGGUUUUAUCUUUUGGAAUUAAAUGAUUAUUAUAAUAAAUGUUGAUGGGCUUGGUUAGAAAUGCAUGAAAUGCAAUAACUUUGUUUUUAGCAGGACUGAUAUCCAAAUUAAGAAAGUUAAAAUAUGAAUUUAAGUUUUUAAGGGCAUUGUUAAGUACACUGACAGUGCUUUGUAUAUUAGUACUUGAAAAGUAAACCACUAAAUCAUCAGCAAAUUGAAGAUUAGUAACUUCAGAGCCAAGUUCAAGAUUUAGUCUAUAUAUGUAUAAAACAAAGAGAAGGGGACUUAAAAUUCCACCUUGACUUACACCUUUAUGUGAAUAUCUUGAACCGAUCAAUUUAUUAUUAUAUUUAACAAAAAUUUCUCUGUCAUUUAGAAAAUAAAAAAUCCAUUCUAUUAUUUUUCCAGGAAAUUGGAGUGAACUUAAAAUGGAUGAAAGAAUAUGCAAAUUUACAUUGUUGAAGGCACCAACUACUAAGCUACUAAGACUUUGUUGUUCUGAAAAGCAUCAUCAAUAUCCAAAUAUAAAUGGCUAAGACUCUCUCUGGCAGAGCGACCACUGCGAAAUCCAAACUGAUUGCUUGUGGGAAGAUGAUAUCCACCUAAAGGGGAAUUGCAGACCUUCCAUUCACAAGAUAAAAGUAAUGAAGAGGAUACCAUUGUCAAAUCAUUCGGCCUCCAACUGUUUGAGCCAACUGUAGUGGGACUUCCAUCAUUCAAAAGUGCCAAGUCAUUCUCCUCCAUGACAUCUAAGAUAUCUCUACCACAAGUGUCUGUGCUUCCACAACCCCAAAGAGUAUUAUGUGCAUUAAAAUCACCAGCUAUUAUCAUUGGACCAGGAAUGGACUUUAUUAAAUUAUUCAACUUUGAUUUUGUAAAACUAGGAGUGGAACGUGGAGUGGACUAUAGAAGCUUACUAUUGAUAUUAAUUUGUGGUUAAUUUGUAUUUGUAUAACAAUAUUUUGUAUUGAAUCAUCAUAUGAAGUAAUUACAUUUUGAAAAUGAAUACUAUUAUGAACUAUAACAGCCACACCAUUAUGAGCAUUACCACAGUCAUUUCUCACAAUGGUAUAGCCUUUUAUACUAAGUUUCAUAGAAGGUUUUAACCAGGUCUCUGAAAUUAAAGCUUUGUGAAUUUGUUUAUCACUAAGAAAUUUCUUGAAAACAUUUUUAUUAUGCAUAAUGCUUUGAGCAUUCCACUGCAUAAUAUUUAAGGUGUUGAAAUUGAAUUUGAAGUGAAAAAAAAAAUGAUUUUCAGUAAAUUCUUAGUCAAUAAAAAAAAUACUUUGAGAGUCUAAUUAAUGUUAGGUGUUAUUGUUUUUUAAUGUUGCAUGUAAAAUAUCUGUAAUAUUUUGACUGUUAAUUGCCAUAUUUUCUGUUUUAUUUAAUGAUAUAAUUCUGAUUAACGAUUCUGUUAUCAAAUUAAUUACUUUCUUGUCUGAAAGUAAUUUAGAGAUAUCUAGUGGAUUUUUAUUUAAGCUGGGGAAAUUACUUUCAUUAAAUAAAGAUGAGUAAGGUC